CUCUGCACAGAUAUUAACAAAACAACAACCAACAAAUUCAGUCCAACCUGCUUACUCCCUAUAUAUAUUUCGAAGGCAUGCAUCCACACCUACGACAAGGGAUUUUAUUAUUAAGCACAUAUUGGAAACUUCAAACUUGAGACCUCUAAGCAGUUAUGACCAAGACACUUGUUAUCUUAUGAGUUGGCAACAAUGGAGAUUUCUAUUAUGCAGAGAAUGGAGGUGAAAUUGUAGUAAAAGAAAAUGCAUAUCGAUUUAACGUGGUUAAGCAAAGAAGAGCCUACAUCCACGUAGAAGGACGGAAGAAAUCUAAGAUGAGUUCAUCUUUCUUUUUUUCUUUUGUAGUCUAUCUUUUGAACACUCAACACACCUUUAUAUAUUAGGUGUUUACAAGAGGAUGUAACAUGAAAAUAAAACUAAAUGUUGGAAUUCAAAAAUUUAUUAAAAAUCUCCACCUUGAAUCCAACGUAAUUCUUCAACCUUCAAGUAAAUUUUCGAUUUCUGUCUUUGUUUAUCCGUUUUUCACGUAAAUCAAAGCCUACCACAACUCAAAACAUUUUUGGAGCUUUAGCUUUAGAAUAUGUUUGGUUAGCAUAUCUGCUAUGUUGUCCAAGGUAUGGACCUUCAAAACUUUGAUUUCCCUCGUUUCUAUUCUUUCACGAACAAAAUGAAAUUUUAUAUCUAUGUGUUUUGUUCUACUGUGGAAUUGUGUGUUCUUGGAUAGAUGUAUGGUACUUUUGUUAUCAUAGUAGAUCUUAACUAUUGAUUGGUUAAUACCAAGGUCCUUCAUCAAUUGUUUGAGCCACAAUCCUUUUUUUACUGCCUCUGUAAGAGCUAAGUAUUUUUGGUUAUUUAGUUGAGAGAGCAACGAUAGAUUGUAGGGUUCCUUUCGAAUUGAUUGGAUUAGGGUGGUAGAGAGAAACAUACCUUGUUAGGCUUCUUCUUUUAUCAAUAUCACCAGCAAAUAGUCUGAAUCCACAUAGUCAAUUAGUUCUAAAUCUGAUUCUAAAUGUCUUCUGGUAAAUUAGUUUAGCAUACUUAGGCCAGAUUAGAUAUCUAAGAAUCAAUUUUGUUGCUUUCUCGUGUCUCUUACCGGGACUUUCCAUAUAUCUACUGACUAAACUUGCCAAAUAGGUUAAGUGAGGUCUAGUAGAGAUUAUUAAGUACAUGAGAUUUCCCACUGUUUGACUAUAAAGAACAUUCUUCAUUUGUUUAUUUUUGUUCUAUAUCGGUAUCAUUACGAGAAUUUGCUGCUAAAAGUUUGAAGUGUUGUGCAAUAGGAUUGGUCACAUGUCUAACAUUUGUUAUGGUUAAUUAAAUCUUCUAAUUAACUUCUCACCAGUAGGUUAAUUAGCUUACGCUUAGGAUAUAUUGGUCUUUAUCUCUAGCGAUGUCAAUUCAGAAUCUUCCUUGAUUCUUCCACGUCUUUCAUGUCGAAAUCUUUACCUAAAAGACCUUUUACAUGAGUUAUCAAAAUAGAGUAAUAAUAUAGGUCCUUGUCCUUGUAGGUUGUUGAGUUUAUGUAAGCACACAUAUCAUAUGAGCUUAUUUGAAAACUCAAACUAGCUAUAUAGUCAUUGAACCUUCUAUACCAGGAUCUAGGAGAUUGUUUCAACCCAUAGAUUGACUUUUUGAGCAAACAGUAUAGACCAUUCUUUCCUUUAACCUCAAACCCUUUAGGUUGUUCCAUGUAAAUGGUUUCAUCUAGAUAACUACGAAAAAAAAGCUUUCUUUACGUCAAGUUGGUUUAACUCCAAGUUGUUUUGAGCUACUAGUGAUAAAAGGAGUCUAAUAGAAGUUUGUUUAACAACCAAAGUGAGAAUUUUAGAAUAGUCUAUACCCUUGUGUUUGAGUGAAACCCUUAACUGUACCAACCUUAUUGUAUCUAGUCUUUGAAUUUUUUUGUAAUCCCUCAUUUAACUUAUAGAUCCACUUUGAUACUAUUGGUUUGCAUCCAUUUGAUAGAGAAACUAGGGUCCAAGGGUCAUUCACACUUAGUGGGUUCAUUUCUUAAUUCAAUAUUGCUUAUCUAACUAUCUAGUAUAGAACCAUUUAGUGGGUUAUUUAGCAUUGCUUAUAUCCACUGACUAGAGAGUGACUCUCUUAUGCUUGUAAUUCCAUUUUUUUCCUAAAAUCCUCUUCACAAAACUCCAAACCACUAUCAAUUCUAAGAUAUUUUAUAUUUUUUCUAUUUUUUUCUAUCAUCAAUUUCCAUUCUUUAAAUUUUCUAAAGACUUGGUCUUUAGUUUUUAGAAAAUAAAUCCUAGUAUUUCUAAGAAAAAUCAUCAGUAAAGGAUAAAUUGUACCUUGAGCCACUUAGGCUCGGGGUCGAGGUUGGUUCUCAUAGUUUCAAAUGGUUGUAGUCAAGGAUUCCUUUAGCAGUGUGUUGUGCUUUGAAGAAGCUUUGUCUUCUUGCUUUUCCUAACACACAAUGUUCACAAAAGGACAACUUCUUGCUAAUUUAUUUAGGUAGGAUGCCUCAUUUUGAUAAGUCUCUUUUGGCUAAUAUGAGUCUGUCUUUUCUGCCAAAAGUCAGCCUCGGUCAGAUUUAAUGUAGAUACUACAUUAACUUCAUUUAGCAUUUCAACUCCUUUGAUUAUGGAAAGGUUAAUUUAUCUUUUCUCCAACCAAAACAACCCUAGAAUCUUUUAGGACCUUAAAAACUUCACCUUCUCCUUUUGUAUUCACACCCCAAAGAGUCUAACAUUCCUAAGGUAAUUAUUUCUUUUGAGGUGAGGAACAAGUCUAACAUCUCUAAGAAAUUUCAGAGUUCCAUCGUUCAAUUUCAUAAUGACUAAUCCAAUACCAACAAUGUGACAAGCCUCAUUAUUUUCCAUGAAAAUUGACUCUUCAUUGAUUUCCUUGUAAGUGUUGAACUAGGUUUUAAAAGGUGUUAUGGUAGGUGCAGUCAGAGUUAAGAACCCAAUCAUAUUUACUAGAGGGGGUAGCAUAUGAUUUGUUUGGUCUUGGAUUGAUGCCAAAGCAUUUGAAUAGAUAAAAGAACUUUCUACCACGGAUGCUUCAUGUUGCUUUCAUUUAGAAUCUUUUUCUUUCUCUUAAUUCUUUUUCUUGAGAAAGAAACAGUCAUUUCUUCUUGGAGUAUUUACACUUCUGUUUUGCCUUCUUUUCUUCAUUUAACUCACUUUUUCUGUUCUUCCACUGAUUUGUUUAAGACUUUCAUUUGACAAAUAAUCCAUCUCCAUUGUGUUGAUCUUUUUUAGAUGACUAAAGCUCUAUUUCUUUUGUUUUAAGAACUUAAAAUUAUUGUAUCGAUUUUAACUGAAUCUCUGCCAUACUUAAGACCAUUCUUCACUUCUUUAUAGGAUUCAGGCAAGGAGUUUAGAAGCACAUAGGCUUCAUUUUCAUCACCUGGUUUGUAGGAAGAUCUUUGGUAGUAAAUAAGCUUUCUAACUUUGUCCAUAUCUUGUAUGCUGUAUCUUCUUCAAUUAUUUGCCUUAGGACAUUUAACUCCAUUGUCACAUUUAACUUUAUCCAUUUAACUUUGUCACAUUUAACUUACUCCAUAGGCAUUUAACUCCAUUUCUUCUCUUUCUUUGCAGUGAUGGUUAUUCUGGAAGUUUCUGAAAGUCUGUUGUGGUGUGUAUUUAACUCCAUUGUCACAUUUAACUUUGAGCCUUUUGGUGACCAAGGAAGAAUUUAAUUUUUGCACUCCAACAGGAAAAAUCACCAUUUCCAUCAAACUUUGAAUUUCAACUCUUGCUAUUGUCAUCCGCAGGUUUGAAACUGAUUCUUGAACCUCCAAGAUUUGUCUUCUUGAUAAUCAAGAUUGCUAUGAUAUUACCACUUUGUUGGGGUAUUUUUUGCGUUAUUUGUAUUAAGCCCAAAGAUGAAAGACAAAAUAUGUGGAGGAAGAGGAACCCACGAACAAAAUAAAAUAUCUUCUUGAGUUAGGUAGAAUGAAAUAUGGAGAAGAGGUUAUGUCAACCUUCUGUAUUACACUUGUUGGAGUCAACAUUUUGCAAGAAAUAAUCACCCCCAAUUCUUUUCUAAACGAAAACAAAGAAUUUGAGAAUGGAGGAGAAGAAGUAGUAAAAGAAAAUGCACACCAAUUUAACGUGGUUGGGCAAAGAAGAGCCUACAUCCACAGAGAAGGACUUUGAUUCUUGAAGAAAAGCUAAGAUGAGUACAACUGUCCUUUUUUUGUGUAGUCUAUUCUUUUGAACACUCAACACAGAACUUUAUAUAUCAGGAAAAUAAAUUUGUUACAAUUAACAGUAUGAUUUUUUUAACCAAUGACCAAAUCACUAAUUUUUAUUUUUUUAAUUUUGAUCUAACUAUUUUUUUUUUGUAGAACGAGAAUAACAAGGACCCCACCCACUAGGCCACUAAUCAAUAGCAAAAAGAAAAAGAAAACUUUAAAAGAUCAAACAAAAUAAAAUGAGAUUAUAUUAAAACAAAACUAUGCCUAUUAAUUUUCAUAAAUUGAAGACUAACCUUGAAUAUUGUUUAAUAAUUGGUCCUCUGAAAUGUAGGUUUUGUCAAGAGUUUUGCCAAUUUUGCUUUCCCAGAGGGCCACAAGUUCAUUGAUUGAGAGGACAUUUGGAGGAGGCUUAAUGUAAAGAAUUUUAUUCAAAGUUGUUGGAUCAUCCACUGCUUUAAUGGUGUAGGAAGCAAUGUCUUCUUCUUUGUUGAAAAUUACUGAAAAAUUGACAAAUUGAAACCAAACAAUAAACUCAUUAUCUUAUCUUAACUAGGAUGUAGACAUUUACCAGAAAACCCACAUUUGUGGACAGUAUUAUUGUACUAAUAGACAAAACACAAAGCAAUUUUAUUGAGAAAUAAUCAACUAUAUAUUAUAUGCCAAUAA